rnacentral:rRNA from 1 species
AUUGAACGCUGGCGGCGUGCCUAAUACAUGCAAGUCGAGCGCAAGAAGCCGUCUGAACCCUUCGGGGGGACGACGGUGGAAUGAGCGGCGGACGGGUGAGUAACACGUAAAGAACCUGCCCCUAGGUCUGGGAUAACCACGAGAAAUCGGGGCUAAUACCGGAUGUGACAGCGGACCGCAUGGUCCGCUGAUGAAAGGCGCUCCGGCGUCGCCCAUGGAUGGCUUUGCGGUGCAUUAGCUAGUUGGUGGGGUAACGGCCCACCCAGGCGACGAUGCAUAGACGAACAGAGCGGGUGAGCGGCCACACUGGGAGUGAGACACGGCCCAGACGCCUACGGGAGGCAGCAGUAGGGAAUCUUCCAGAUUGGACGUAAGUCUGAUGGAGCAACGCCGCGUGAACGAUGGAGGCUUUCGGGUCGUAAAGUUCUGUUUUAAGGGAAGAACAAGUGCCGCAGGCAAUGGCGGCACCUUGACGGUACCUUGCGAGAAAGCCACGGCUAACUACGUGCCAGCCGCCGCCGUAA